UUGAAAGAGAAUAGCAUAUCCCAGCCCCUUCGCGGGCUGCCCCCGUGAAGACGCCUGCCAGAAGUGGUGUUUUCUCAGCUACCGGCCUCUGCACUUGCAACCUGACUAGCACAGAGGAACCGUACUUCUAUUUGUCUCCUUUGUGUUGCCUCUGAUGCUUUUCUUCAAUGGCCCAAACUGGAGAGUGUUCUGUGAUGUUGCUUUAACUGGACAGAACAUUAAGUUCAUGAUCAAGGAGAAAUGAAACUGAAAGGAGCGCGUCGGGAUGGCAGCCCCGCUUCUCCCCUGGCAUAUCAAUUGCUGAUAAAGGAUGCGAAUCGCCCCGAUGAUCUAUCCCAGCUACCUGCGGACGUGAACAUCCCUGACAAUGGGGCGACUGGGGAACCGGGAGCUCUGUGGACCUUUGUGGCAGUGAAAGAAAAACCAGCCUGAAGUUACUUCCUCAAUUCACCCAAUUGUGAGCGAAAACCGGGCUGGAGGGUACGCACCUGAUUGCAGACAGCAACUGAAACUCUCUUCCCCAUUAUCUAUCUAACCACGGACCUUCCUACCUGCCUGAAUGGGCGUGCGUGUAUCAGGCAGACUUGAAGCUAUCAUUACGCAGUAAGUAUGCAGGAGCCAGAACAGAGCCCUGUCCCGGCCGUCGCCAUGGCACCAACCCGGGCACGAGGCACAGCACUGGCCCAGGCAUGGGUGACUCACCUCAUCAGCCGGUGACAACACCCCCGACCAGGGACACUAUCCCUGCAGCUUGCCCAAAGCCGCUGGCCUCCGUGGCCAGAACCCAAACGUCCCUGUCUCCUGCGCCCAGCGCCAGCGCCCUCGGCCCCCUGCUGGCCUUCCUCUGCAUCCUGCCUUUGUGGACUGGGAAGGAAAAGGAGCAAGAACAUCUAAGAGGACUAAGAGGACGAGGCUGAGCCUGAGCCAGUGGGGCCGCGCGGGAGGACGCACUGGAGGCUCCCAAGGGCGCACCCUUGCGGAGCGCCAGGUUUCCGGACGCACGAUGAGAAGGGGUGACGGGGAGGGGGCAUCGCCCCCAGGCUGCAGCCCCCCAGACCCCAGGCCCCUGGCCCCUGGCAGGCCUCCAGCCCCUCUGGCCCCCUGGAGGGCCAAGCUCAGGCCAGCCAGCCCUGCCCUGCUGUUCCUCCUCUGUGCUGCUUGGGCAAGGCCAGGCCGAGCCCCAGGAGUCCGGUCAGAAGUCUGAGGAUUUCCCUUUCAAGUCUGCACGACGCGGGGACGGUCACGUUGAGGGCCUGUUGUUUCCUCCCAGCCGGCGGCCCGCCCAAGGACAGGGCCCUUGCAGGGCGCGCGGCGGCUUUGAUUUCCCAGAGCCUGGUCCAGCGGGGAUCUGAGGACACUGCGCAGUGUGGCGCCCUGCACGGCCCUGGUCGCUUGCCUGUGGGGUCUCAGCAAGGGCUCCCCCUUACCUGCCUGCCAAGCAGAGGAAAAGGUGCCCUCUAGCGCCUGCGGAGUCCCAUCGGGGCCCGGAGGCUGCAAAGGCCAGGUCCCUCCCAUGGAGCAUGGCAGGGGACAUGCCACUCCUGCUGGCUUCUCUGCAUCCCAGUGGAGAGCAAGGGGCUGAGAGUUUGUAAUGCAGCCAACCAGGAGGCGCCUGUGUAGACUUGGGGGAGGCCCGGCCUUAACCCCUCCGCGAAGCCCCACAUUGCAGGGGCGUGUGUCAGGGGCCAUGUGAGAAGCAAGAUAGGGCUGCAAGCCCCUGAGUCUAGAUCAGGGACAACGAGAAGAGCCAAGGUGAAGUCCAAGUGGCAACCUCAGUACCCAAGAAGUAUGGGCUCUGCUCAGAAUGGCUCCCUACCGUAGGAACAUCCCAAUUUCCAUGCCUCCAACUUCCAAUAACCCGCAACUUUAGACCAUCUAUCCACCAACGGACUAAUGCAACCUCAAUCCAUGGAGGUGGUUGGAGGGAUGAAGAGAGGGUUAGACGCGAGUGUGUGGGUCAGUGAACAUCAGAAAAUGAGCACGUCUCAACGGCCAGCCCCUAGAUCGAGCAGCAAAGCUGAGGACUCGUCACUCACUCCCUUCUCGGGGACACGAGGACCACGUGGUUUUGAAUGUGCUUUAAAAAUGCCAGGGGGCGAGCUUUUCUGGCUGGGUUUCUUGGCCUCAGUAUUGUGUUUGUGAGACUCACGCUCUGGUCAGGUGUGGCUGUGUUCGGUCAGUGUCACUGUUCCACCACGCGUCUAUCUGCUCCACCGGAGAGGGUCACUUGGGCUGUUCCCCGCGGGGGCCGCCAUGAACACACUGCGAGGAACAUGCCCGUUCCUUCCAGAUGUCUUCUCAGAGCAAUGCUGAGGGACUCGUUUCUGUGCGCUCGCGAGACUUCAUGCUUUCGCUUUCCCUUGGUACUCACUUCCUCUCACACGGAGGGGCCUGGCAUGCUUUGUUAAAAAUGCAAAUGAUUGUGGUUUGAAGAGGUGGCGGUGCCCUAGGAGAUGCUGGCAGAGUUCCCCAGGAGGCACGGAGAGGUUGCAGGCCACUGUCCUGGCUUCCUGCAGCAGCCUGAAGACACUUGGUCCUGCAGCCCUGGGUGACUCUCUGGGCAGUGGUCUCUCCCAGGACCAUGGCCCCUCCAUGGGGGGCCUCUCACAGACCAGACAUUGACUUUCCUUAAGCUCCGAACUCCUCCAAGUCCCAACUCUCCAAAACGUGAGAAUAUUCAUUCCUGUCUUCCUUUUCUGCUUUGUAUUUACAUGAAAAGAUAAGAAGAAGUCUUUUAAACAAGUUAUUUAAGAAAGUCUUUUUUGUAUCCAGUAUCUUCACUUGACAAGUGAGGAUAAGAGCGUUCCUAUUUGUGGAUCGGAUUAGAAGUAAAUACGGAGUUAGGAUCUCUCACUUACUUCCUGGGUGCCAGGCACUGAUGAACUUGGGACUGUGUCUUGCAGCCGUCUGAAGCAGACGCUAUUAUAAUCCACCACCCCUGCCUUUCACAGAUGAGGGGGCUGACUCAUGAAGACCCUACUGUGCACAUUCUCCAAAAACCUCAUGGAAAAUAGAACUAAAAAAAUAAAGUUAUCAUGGUGCACAAAUUUUUGUGAUCUAUGCAUGCAAGGGAUCUUCCAAAAGUUCAUGGAAAAUGCUUAUUUCAACCUAAGUGAAUUUCACAUUCUGCAUCUUUUAAUUCCAUUUUAGGAAAUACCCUCAAAUCUUCUCAGCACCACAUGGCUAAUAAUAAUCCAAACCCAAGGUAUUAUGGCUCAGAGCCCUCAAUUUUAACCAGAAAGUUUACUUGCCUUGCCCUCCAACCAAA